rnacentral:tRNA from 1 species
AAGGAUAAUCGGAAAGCGACAGGGACUUAAGUGUCAAUUUGUUUGUUUCAAAGUUUUGUUUAGUUUUGAGUGUGAUACUUUAAUAGGUAUCAUUGUCUCAAAGUGAUCCUAUGGGGAAUUAGCUCAGCUGGGAGAGCACCUGCUUUGCAAGCAGGGGGUCAGCGGUUCGAUCCCGCUAUUCUCCAUAGCUAGUCGACAGGCUAGCAUGUUGUACAUUGAAAACUGAAUAGUAACAAAUUCUUUUAAAAGCAAUCGAAAGAUUGUACUAAAAUGAACCGAGAAACAACACAAAAAGUUCUUUAAAAAGAACGGUUUAAUCGCAGGUCUGAAAAAUGACCAACUCAUAAACUUAAACCACAACUACGGUUGUAUAG